UUGACACCCUAUGGAGCAAAGAAGAGGGCUGAGACGGUGGUUUUGGGAAAUAUGCUGUUCAGGGAGAUUUCGUGUCAACCUCCCAAGCCUU
rnacentral:ribozyme from 1 species